CUACGUGCGGCAGCAGUGGGGAAUAUUGGACAAUGGGCGAAAGCCUGAUCCAGCCAUGCCGCGUGUGUGAAGAAGGCCUUCGGGUUGUAAAGCACUUUCAGGGGGGAAGAAAGCCUUGGGGCUAAUACCCUCGAGGAAGGACAUCACCCACAGAAGAAGCACCGGCUAACUCCGUGCCAGCAGCCGCGGUAAUACGGAGGGUGCGAGCGUUAAGCGGAAUUACUGGGCGUAAAGCGCGCGUAGGCGGUCUGAUAAGCCGGUUGUGAAAGCCCCGGGCUCAACCUGGGAACGGCAUCCGGAACUGUCAGGCUAGAGUGCAGGAGAGGAAGGUAGAAUUCCCGGUGUAGCAGUGAAAUGCGUAGAGAUCGGGAGGAAUACCAGUGGCGAAGGCGGCCUUCUGGACUGACACUGACGCUGAGGUGCGAAAGCGUGGGUAGCAAACAGGAUUAGAUACCCCUGUAGUC
rnacentral:rRNA from 1 species